AGCGAACGUUAGCGGCGGGCCUAACACAUGCAAGUCGAGCGAGAAAGGGGCUUCGGCCCUGAGUAAAGCGGCGGACGGGUGAGUAACACGUAGGUAAUCUUCCUUCGAGCGGGGGACAACGGUCCGAAAGGACCGCUAAUACCGCGUACGUUCCCGAGGACCCUGGUCCUUGGGAGGAAAGCUAGGUCGCAAGAUCCGGCACUCGGAGAGGAGCCUGCGGCGCAUCAGGCACUAGUUGGUGGGGUAAUGGCCUACCAAGGCGAAGACGCGUAGCUGGUCUGAGAGGAUAAUCAGCCACACUGGGAUGGAGACACGGCCCAGACUGCUACGGGAGGCAGCAGUGGGGAAUAUUGGACAAUGGGCUCAAGCCUGAUCCAGCCACGCCGCGUGAGUGAUGAGGGCCUUCGGGUCGUAAAGCUCUGUGGGGAGGGACGAACCGCUGCACGUGCAUAGCGUGCAGCAUGACGGUACCUCCUUAGCAAGCACCGGCUAACUUCGUGCCAGCCGCCGCGGUAA
rnacentral:rRNA from 1 species